rnacentral:rRNA from 1 species
UACGGAGGGAGCUAGCGUUGUUCGGAAUUACUGGGCGUAAAGCGCGCGUAGGCGGUUACUCAAGUCAGAGGUGAAAGCCCGGGGCUCAACCCCGGAACUGCCUUUGAAACUAGGUAACUAGAAUCUUGGAGAGGUCAGUGGAAUUCCGAGUGUAGAGGUGAAAUUCGUAGAUAUUCGGAAGAACACCAGUGGCGAAGGCGACUGACUGGACAAGUAUUGACGCUGAGGUGCGAAAGCGUGGGGAGCGAACAGG